rnacentral:rRNA from 1 species
AGCGAACGCUGGCGGCAGGCCUAACACAUGCAAGUCGAACGAACCUUUCGGGGUUAUUGGCGGCCGGGUGAGUAACACGUGGGAACGUUCCCUUAGGGUCGGAAUAACUCAGGGAAACUUGUGCUAAUACCGAAUGUGCCCUACGGGGGAAAGAUUUAUCGCCUUUAGAGCGGCCCGCGUCUGAUUAGCUAGUCGGUUGAGGUAAUGGCACACCAAGGCGACGAUCAGUAGCUGGUCUGUGAGAAGGAGCAGACACAUCGGAACGGAGACACAGCCGAGAAUCCUACGCGAGGGGGCAGAGGGGAACCGUGCGCCAUCGCCGAAAGGAUGACGGAGCCAUGCCGGUUGAAUGAUGAAGGUAGUAGGAAUGUAAAAUUCUUUCAACGAUGCAGAUAAUGACGGUACCCGGAGAAGAAGCCACGGCUAACUUCGUG